CAAGAUUCUGAUUCAAAAACUAGAACACUAUGGUAUACGCGGAAUAACAAGACAGUGGUUUGAAGAUUACUUAAAAAACAGAAAACAGAUUGUUAAAUAUAACCAAGUUAAAUCAAAAGCAAUGAUAAUUAAAAGUGGUGUCCCACAGGGGUCAAUUCUUGGACCAAUUUUAUUUCUUCUCUAUAUCAAUAAUAUUUAAAAUUGUA